GAUGAACGCUGGCGGCGUGCUUAACACAUGCCAGUCGAACGGAAAGGCCCAAGCUUGCUUGGGUACUCGAGUGGCGAACGGGUGAGUAACACGUGGGUGAUCUGCCCUGCACUUCGGGAUAAGCCUGGGAAACUGGGUCUAAUACCGGAUAGGACGAUGGUUUGGAUGCCAUUGUGGAAAGUUUUUUCGGUGUGGGAUGAGCUCGCGGCCUAUCAGCUUGUUGGUGGGGUAAUGGCCUACCAAGGCGUCGACGGGUAGCCGGCCUGAGAGGGUGUACGGCCACAUUGGGACUGAGAUACGGCCCAGACUCCUACGGGAGGCAGCAGUGGGGAAUAUUGCACAAUGGGCGCUAGCCUGAUGCAGCGACGCCGCGUGGGGGAUGACGGCCUUCGGGUUGUAAACUCCUUUCGCUAGGGACGAAGCGUUUUUGUGACGGUACCUGGAGAAGAAGCACCGGCUAACUACGUG
rnacentral:rRNA from 1 species